UAUUUUUUCAAAACUGUCCAACCCCUCUCUCCCCACUCAACUCCCUCUCUCUCCUUUCUCUCUCUAAUGUUCUUCCUCCCAUCACCACGAAGCCCGAUCAAAACCCAUCUUGGCCGCUACUUUUCCCAUCUGGGUCGGGGAAGCUCACGGCCUCACCGCUUGGGAGAGGGACAACCACAGGGACGGUGACUUGACGAUGCCAUAGGUGUCUUCCUAGUAGGAGGAGACCCUCGAGCCGGUGAGAAACGAGGUCCCCACUCGAAGAACACGAGAAGCAACGGUGAGGUAGUGGAGGAAAGCCUGGAUUGCCACUGCGGCGCCAUAAUCCAAUAAGGUUGUUCCAGUCAUUGAGGGUCUAGUAGAGGAGACGGAAGGAGAUCUUGGCAAUUCCAAUUUUAGGGUUUGGUCAAAUCAAAAUCCGAGGCGAAAUUUGGUUUGAUUUCUUGCUCGAGGCUACAUGACGAACUCUCUCACAUCUUCCGGCCUCCUAGGACGACAGGGGCAGCUGCGGCUCCUUCGCAGACACAGAGACCGUUGAUACAGACCGGGAAUCCGGCUCUGCAACCAGGUACACAGUCCUCAUCUUUAUGGCAUUUCUUCGGAGGCGGUGUCCCUUCUCCAGCCACCGGCGAUGACAACAGAGCACCUGCAGAAAUUCCAGCUAGUCUUAGUCAUAACACAUUCGAUUCCCAGAUCGUUAACUUAAAGAGAGAGGUCACCGACCAGAAGCGAUGAGGAAGAUGAGAACAAAUCCUAGGAAGGACCCCUUCACCAUUUCUUCUCCUGUUCGUCGCGUCUGGAUACAAAAAAUUGGGACUCGUGAUGUGCGGAUAUCUCACUCAACUCCUUCAGUGUUGUAGAUGUACAAACACACACUCGCACAGAUAUAUGUGUGUGUGUGUGUGUGUGUAUAUAUAUAUAUAUACACAAGUGCAUGGAAGCCAGAUAUAUAAUUUAUUUUCUUUUCUAUUAUGCUUGGAGUAUACUUCUUAUUUAUAUUAUUCAUAUGCAUCUAUAGAAAUCUAUUACGUUUCAAUU